CUGUGAGUGCCCUUCCAUCUUUUGGUGCAGGAUAUAUUCAGUUAUGGUGCUCUUAAGAGUAGGGAAGCUCUUGGAAGGGGUUUCUCUGGAGCUGAGCUGUAGUGCUGGUCCUGCGAAGGUGAUAUUGGAGCCGAACCAAGUUGUGGUUUUGGACUGUAAUGUGGCCCCUGUUGAACAGGUGAUCAAUAUCACGUGGAAGAAGAAUGGGUUUCCGUUAGUGGAGCAGGAACAUCUGCAUGUGCUUCCGAAUGGGUCGCUCUUCAUCUCAUCCCAGGCUGUGGCAAAGGACAGCAAAUAUCCUGAGAGGGCCGGUGCUGAGGGUAAUUACUCCUGUGUGUCCCACAGCUCCCUAGGGGCUGUCACCAGUCAAACAGCUGCAGUCAGAUUUUCAACCUUAUCACGCUUUUUCCAACAGCCGGAGUUGCAGACAGUGGAAGAAAAUGGCAUCGCCCGGUUUGAGUGUCGCAUUGAAGGACUGCCCUCCCCGGUCAUCACGUGGGAGAAGGAUCACGUAGCUGUUCCAGCAGAGCCCAGGUUUAUAACUCUUCCAAAUGGUGUCCUCCAAAUUGUGGAUGUGCAGGAGAGUGACGCUGGGGCUUACCACUGCGUGGCAACCAACGCCGCUCGGAAACGCUACAGCAAUGAUGCGGUCCUCAGUGUCCUGAAAGGUUCUCAGCCAGCAACAGGAGAUGUCACCAUCGUGGCUGCUCCGGAGAACACAACGGUGGUGGCGGGGGAAAGUGCGGUGAUGGAGUGCAUGGCAUCCGCCGAUCCCACCCCCUUUGUCUCCUGGAUACGACAGGAUGGAAAGCCUAUUUCAACGGAUGUGAUUGUUCUGGGCCGGACAAACCUCCUCAUUCCUUCCAGCCAGCCGCACCACUCAGGGGUGUAUGUUUGCCGUGCUAACAAACCCCAGACCAGGCAAUUUGUUACAGCCGCAGCUGAGCUCCGGGUCCUCGCUAUGCCCAGUAUCUCCCAGGCUCCUGAAACUAUCUCGCGCACCCGAGCCAGCACAGCCCGGUUUGUCUGCAAGGCAGAGGGCGAGCCGGCCCCGACCAUUCACUGGCUGAAGAACGGCGAGGCCAUCCUCUCCAAUGGGCGAGUGAAGGUCCAGAGCAGUGGGAGUCUCGUGAUCAAUCAGAUCGGGCUGGAGGAUGCUGGCUACUAUCAGUGCGUGGCUGAGAACAGCCUGGGCAUGGCUUGUGCCACUGCCAAGCUCUCGGUGAUUGUGCGGGAGGGUUUACCCAGCGCUCCCAAAAGGGUGUCUGCUGUGUCCCUCUCCAGCACCACAGUCCUUGUGUCCUGGGAGCGUCCAGAGUACAACAGCGAGCAGAUCAUUGGCUUCUCAUUACAUUACCAGCGGGCUGUGGGAACAGAUAAUGUGGAGUACCAGUUUGCCGUCAAUAACGAUACCACUGAGCUGCAAGUCAAGGACCUAGAACCCAAUACCAACUAUGUCUUCUAUGUGGUCGCGUAUUCUCAGCUUGGAGCAAGCCGGACAUCCUCUUCUAUAAUCGUUCAGACCUUGGAGGAUGUUCCGAGCGCUGCCCCUCAGCUCUCCCUGUCGAGCAUGACUCCUGGUGACAUCCGUGUGACAUGGCUGCCUCCUCCUCCGGAGCUGAGUAAUGGCAAGAUAACGAAGUACAAGAUCGACUACUGCACCCUCAAGGAAGCAGAUCAGGUCACCUCCAUUGAAGUGGGCGGAAAUGAGACACAAAUCACUCUCUACUCGCUGCAUCCCAACAAAGUGUACAAAGUGCGCAUUGCAGCCAGCACCAGCAUGGGCUAUGGGGCCCCUUCGGAAUGGACCCAGCAUCGGACUCCUGACAGGGACAACCAGACGCAUGUUCCGUUUGCCCCAACAGAAUUAAAAGUCCGAGCGAAGAUGGAGUCCCUCCUGAUAUCAUGGCAACCCCCAGCCAACCAUGCCCAGAUAUCAGGCUACAAACUCUACUACCGGGAAGUGGGCACGGAGGAGUCCAGUGAUGAAAGCCCUUUGGAUGGCGCUGAAGAUGAGAGCUGGGACGUAGGGCCCAUAAAACUAAAGAAGAAAGUGAAGCAGUACGAACUGACUCGACUAGUUCCUGGGAAACUCUAUGAGGUGAAGCUGGUGGCAUUCAAUAAGCAUGAAGAUGGCUAUGCAGCGGUUUGGAAGGGCAAAACAGAAAAGGCACCUGUGACAGCAGUAGAUCCUCCAGUACAGAAGGGUCCACCACUGCCUCCGGUCCAAGUCUAUGCAGAGUCCAACAGUUCAACUUCCAUAUGGCUCAGGUGGAAGAAGCCCGACUUCACCACAGUCAAGAUUGUCAACUACACCGUGCGCUUCAGCCCAUGGGGCCUGAAAAACGCCUCUCUCGUCACAUACUACACAAGCUCGGAUGAAGACAUUCUCAUUAGUGGGUUGAAGCCCUACACCAGGUACGAGUUUGCUGUGCAGUCCAAUGGUGUUGGCAUCGAUGGGCCCUUUGGCAGCGUGGUGGAGCGGUUCCCCCUUCCAGAUCGUCCUUCAACUCCUCCUUCUGACCUGCGGCUGCACCCGCUCAACCCCUAUGCUGUCCAGGUGCAUUGGUGCCCCCCUGCUGAGCCCAACGGCAUCAUCGUGGAGUACCUCAUCCUGUACAAUGCCAACAACACGCAGCCCGAUGACAUGUGGACCUUGCUAACACGUGAAGGAAAUAUCUUCAGCACUGAAGUGCAUGGCCUGGAAAGUGAUACCAGAUACUUCUUUAAGAUGGGAGCAAAGACAGUCGUGGGAUCCGGGCCCUAUUCAAAUGUUAAGGAUGUGCACACCCUCCGAGAGAAGCUGUCUGAUGUUCUGGAUAUCCACUCUGUCACAGGAAUCAUUGUGGGAGUCUGCCUGGGACUGCUCUGCAUACUCUUCUGCAUGUGCGCCAGCUUCCGCAACAGCAAGCAGAGGGAGGCCCUGCCAGGCCUGGACUCCCAAGCAUCCAGCAGCCACACUUACUACCACCGGGGCAGGCAAGGGGUGGCAGCUCCCAGUGCCACCUCAGACUCUCACGAGCUGGAGUCCCUCAUGUCCCCGCUCCCAGAGGAUGCACCUGUGCCCCUUGGGGACAUCACAGAGCUGACAGAAGUGCACAGUCUCAUCCACACCAGCCUCCCUGAGGACGCCAUCCAUGGGAAGAGGAAGUCUUCAUGGAAUAAAUCGGCUAACCAGCCCUGGACAAACAACAUAGCCAGAUACGGAGACACUAUCACAAAAGAGCCUCUCUCUGCUGUGAACGGAUCACUGAAGCUCCAGUCCAGUGCAGGACAGAAGCUUUUGUUACAAGCUCUGGUUUAUGAUGCUGUUAUGAAUGAAGCAAAGAAAAGCCACCCCCCAGCCCGCCUCCAUCAAGUGGAAGCAGAAGUCAUCGUCCAUUCUGAUUUUUCAGCCUCUGAUAGAGACUGCGACUCUCAGCUUCACACACUGGGCAGUGAAGAAAUGGAAACCGAGGACCAAGAACCUGAAGAGUUUCCCUCCAGUGACCCGGCUCUUCCCAGCUCUCCCAGUAAGCAGCAAGAUGCUGGCCAACCGUUGAUGGACUGCAAGGGCAAUUCUGAGGUUCAGACCCGGGGUGGACCAUUAAGUACUGACAGAAAGACUAACAAAACAGAGGCAGUUUGCAUCCAUGAGCUCACCAAUGGCUUCCACAGGCACGGAGAAAGUCUACCUUCAAUGAAGAGCGGAGAUUCAGACUCUAUCCAGGAAGGCAGGGGGGAUGUACAACCAGUCAAGUGCCAGUCGCUUUCCAUGGCCCCGGAGGAUGCCCCCCUGUGUAGUAACUCUGGUUUAACCAGUUCAUCCUCAGCAUCUGAGAACAUGACAUAUGUCCUCAAUCAUUAAAAGAGUAAACUAAUCUGAUUUUGAUCAUGGGAGAGCUAGAAGCACUAAUAAAGGCCUGUCUCUGUGAGGUACUGCAUGCCCUCGACUUACUGAGUCCAGCAGGAGCUAGAAAGGCACAGCUUCUCACCAGAACAGGAUUUGGACCUGUCAGCUGUACAUAUGAAUCUACCUACUGAUUUCUUGAAGGUAUUGCCGUACGGUAAUUCUACAGCUGGAGAGUUGGGCUGUGUUUCUCUGUAGGACUAUGUGUUUUAUAGGAGCUGGCCAAAGGAGAGUAUUUCAGCUGGUGGGAUGUUGAUCGAUCUUUAAGAAGCCUAUACUAGUGAAGAGAAUAAAGAACUGAGAAUUGCAAAAGUAACUUGUGAUCUUGGGGAACGUCUAUUCCUUUUUCUGUGCUCAAGUGGACAUGCCUCAGAUGAUUCUGAUUUCCAGAGAGUAGCCCUCAGCCUCUUGGAAGCGGUGGAUUUGUGAAGGCUUUGGAUGCACCAGUGAUAAUUUCUAGCACUUCUGAGAGUCCUGGCCAAAGCAUGUUUAUUAAAGAGGCACCACAGAGUUUAAAAACUAUAAUCAGAUCCUAGCUCUUGUACCCCUAGGGUUUGAGUUUUGUUACAGAGUACAUUUAAAAAUUAUCCAGUUGCUGACAAUUUUCGUUGCUGACACUGUUUGCUUACUGCUGACAAGUCUAUCAGCUUGUUCUUCUGGUACUGGGUGAACGUUUUGCUACUCGUCCCUAGCCUGUCUCUACCCUGUUCCAGGCUUGCAGAGUUUGACUGCAAAUGCCACAGAUUGGAUCAGCUCCUCAGGGAGGAUUGGGAUCUGUAAUUCUGUUCUGCUCAUUGGGUAUUUGAUAAACAUUCUUCCUUUGGAGAUCUGGCUAUCUGUUUGUUAAAGAGCAAGGGGAAAGAUGCACAGCUCCCUCUUUUUCUGCUGAAAUUCCCCAAAGGCUGUGCGGGUAGCUUUGUGCUGAUCUGUGAAAGGCUUCGGACUUCUUUUGUAUUGAGAUCUGGACUGAGAUACUACUCUUUGCAGCAAUGAGAACCUGCUCCACCAGCAGCCCUGUACCUGCUUCUGUUGUGCAGAGCCGUGUCACGGUCUGGCCUAUGUUCAGAGCUGAGCUGGGCCAGCCUGUGUCCUUUCAGUCGUCCAUCUGACCCUGUUGGCUCCAGCUGUUCAGAAGAUGAGUAACUCCAAGCUGCAAUGUACCCAGUUCGGAAGGAUGUCAAAGCUUUCGCCUUCCCCCAUCCUACGACUUCUCCUCCCAGCAUGACACACCGUCCAGUAAAUGGCUGUAUUUCCACUUGUCCCACUCGCUCCGUUGCUCCAGAUGGUGCUUGGUACCCUGAGGAGUCUUGGAAAUGCUUUCCAUGCUCUGAAGCACCAUGACUCUGAAAGGCUUUAGCAGAGAGAUUUGAAAUUGGUGCCUGUGAGCAGGCUAGGCAAGAGUUAGAGCAUGUGUGCUACCAGAGCAAGGAGCUAGAAAGGCAAGAAAUUGUAACUGGGCAAAGGAAGUGCAUAAUUAACCUUCAGAACUCACUGCAACAAGACUUUGAAACUAACAACUCAGCAGGGUUACAGAUAAGACAGCGAAGCGUUAUUGCAGGCAAUAAGGGCAAUUCACAGUUAUAUGAGAGCGGAUGCAAUUGCUGAGGUAUUAACCCUCCAGCUGGGAGUAUCAGGCACCAGCUGCAGAGGAUGGGGGGCGAUUUCUGUAGCUGGACCUUGGUUUGCAGUUAGUCUUGGGGAAGAGUCCUUGCCUUUCCCGGUGACAGAACAGACCUUUUCUCUGUACAAACCAGACUGCCACUUCUGAUGUGCAAAAAGGGAGAAGGACCCUUCUUUGAAAGGCCUACUCCAACGGAAUUCCUGGUGACUUCCUUGCAACUCCAAAACCAAGUCACCUGCCUGUUCCCCCAUGCAAAACCAGCGCGCGUAACAGUGUGCCAAAAGACUGCUUCUUGCAUGUUCCUGAGUGAUACAGACAGAGUAGCCUUGAGGCAGGAGAGCUCCCUGGAUUGAACUUUUGGAACGAACACAGGGGUUGGAAACGUGCUAGUGGCCUCUGGGGAAUAGUGGCAGGAUCUUGGGGUACAUCUUCUCUGGGCGUCAUCUUGGGACGUACUCUGGAAAAGAGCAGCAAGCCAGUUGGUAGCUUUUGAAGGCUGAGCGUCUCUGCUCCUGGAGGGCAGCACAGGCAGGAGUUUGGGCAGAAGCGGACAGAACCGGGCUGCUCGAGCUCUCCUCCCAGCUCCCCGUCAUGCCACUGUACUUGGGGCAGGUCAUGUACCAGCUCUGAGCUUUCUGUCUGUACCACGAGGGUUUGUGGGGACAGAGGCUUCGCCCAGUGACGGGUUCAAACCGAUUUAGGACUGUGUGCCACAGUUGCCAGGAACACUCCUUGGUACACACACCUGCCGCUUUCCCUGCACUGGCUUUAGAGAUCCUGUAGCUGUUGUUGAGCCGCCUAAAAACUACGCCUGCCUGUCGCUGAAGCCAACGCAAGUGGGCGCAGUGUGGGAUUGUUCACUUGGAGCACCUUAGGCUGAUCCUGAAACCCCCAAGUUGGCUAUGUGCUUUGAGAGGAUGGGGGGAGAUGCAGUGGAGUGCACACAGCCCUCUUUAUGCUAGGAUUUAUUCAGGCAGAAAGCUGCACCACAAAAGUACUUUGUUUCCUCCUGUUGAGGCUUCUUCUGACCUUGCUCCACCCCAGUGGAUUGUACCAGAGCUUGAAACUGGCAGCAUUUGGACAUCCAAGUACUGCAGAAGCAGUGGACUGAUGUGCCAGACCUCAGCUGCAUAAAUCAGUUCCCUCAGAGCCAAGAGAUCUCCACUGAUGGACAGCAGCAAAAGCGUUCUGAAACCACUCGCUCUACGAGUGUCGGUGUCCAUGCAAAAUGCUUGGUGUUCCUCGUUUAUCUCAACUGUACCCCAGAUCCCCCCUAUUUUGAACACGUGGGACUGUUCUAGUCUUAGCUAGUGGUGAGAAAUGAAUGGAAGAAGAUAGGUAACACACAUAUCGUGUGAAACAACCAGUGCAUAUAUUUUUUUAUCAUGAAAUAAGUAGCUUAAUUUCCCACAGACGCUCAAACUGUUGAUACCUUUAAUUACACAUCAUACUUAAUAUAUGUUCCUACACAUCAGGCUCCCUUCUCCCUUUUCCUCCUUUCAGUAACACUAAAGAUUAUUGCUGUUCAGCUUUUUGCUGGUGUAUGUUGUUUUACAUUGUUAAAAUGUCAGAUUUGUCUCACUGGCAUAAUUUUGUAGUAUUAACGUUACCAUUUGGCUACACAACUGUAUAUUUCCCAUGCUGCUGUGAAAGUCACAAUUCUAAUUCUUUUAUUUCUUUUAAUUUCCUGUUACGUGAAACAUAUGACUCAGCUAAAAGUAUCUUUUCAACUUUUUGUUGAUUUCUUAUUUAACAGACAGUAAAGUUCUGGUUUAAAUAGCUGAAAUGAGAUAAUUUAUAACCUAGGUUUUGAGAACUGUGUUACAUUACUAGCUAAUAAUUCUGAGAUCAGUCCAUGAAAUAUGCUCUGUAAGAAAACAACCAUUUCAAUAGAACGCUAUAUAUGUUUUUUGAGCUCAUAGAAAUAGAUCUUUUGAAGGGAUCAUUGUGUCUUUUCUAAUCAAUACCCUUGUUAGAAAAGAGGUAUUUAGUCCAGCAGAAAUCUAUCAUUUAGUUCUGUUAUCAUGUUCCCUUGCUAAUAUUUUAAAAUUAAGUUUCAUUUAAUUUUGUACACAACGCAUAAGGAAGCGUAACCAGAACUUGAUCUUGUUUUAAGACUGUGUCUGUAUUUGGUUCCAUGCUGUACUUAAUUAUAACUUUCUUUCUUAAGAGACUUUCUUACUCCACAAAUAUUCUUUAGUGUUAAAGUGUAAGAAGACAUUGUCCUUAUAUUCCUUAACUAAUGGAUUAUUAAUAAAAUAUU